rnacentral:lncRNA from 1 species
AGUGGCCAUGUCAUAAGCAGCCCUAAGGAGAGGCCCAGGUGGCAAGAAACUGAGGCUUCCAGUCCUCUGUACAUGAAUGAGCAUGGAUGGAGAUUCUCCAGCCUAGUCAGCCUUCGGGUGACUGAAGUCCUGGCAGACCUCCUAGCUGUAGUCUCUUGAGAGCUCUUGAGCCAGAGGCACCCAACUAAGCCACUCCUGGAUUUCUGAUACACAGAAACGUCCGGACCUGGAAGUGACAAAGAAUAGUUUCCAAAACUUGAAAGAAGAGGAGAUAAGAUUGGCUUUGAGAAGUUAAACUUCAAAAUCAGCACAUAUGGAUUAGAACAGAGAGAUACAAAAUCAUCUUAAAGCAGUGUUUAAGUGUCCUUCUGACUUGCUCUAAACUGAACCAAAAAUACAACUGCUUUCUUCUUAUCAAUCAGUGGUGGGAAAUACCAUGAAUGCUCUUUUUUUAAUGUGUGAAAAUCUCUCAGAAGAGUUCCUAGAACAACAAUAAGUGUUUUGCUUAUAACCAAGAGAAACUUAGUAAACCAAUAAGUGGAUUAUUAAAAAGAUAUCAAGAUUUGAUAUUCAUAAAUAAAGGAGUAUAUUACCAGAGUUUAUUAAGAACUCCCACUUGGUGUCCUAAUAAGAACUCUGGCUGCUACGUACAGUGCUGGGCAGCAUUCAUAUUCCUUGGCUGGUGGCCCCUCCUCCAUCUUCAAAGCCAGUGAAAGCAGGCUGAGUCCUUUCCCUGUUGCCAUCUCUCUAGCUUUCUGCAGCCAGGAAUGAUUCUUUGCUUUUAAGGACUCAUGCGAAUGGAUUAGACCCACUUGAAUAAUCCAGUGUAAUCUUCCCAUCUCAAGGUCCUUACCUUAAUCACAUCUGCAAAGUCCCUUUUGCCGUGUAGGUUAACAUAUUCACAGGUUCUGGGGGUUAGAAUGGCCUUUGAGGGCCAUUAUUCUACAUAUCACUGUGUGUGUGUGUGUGUGUGUGUGUGUGUGUGUGUGUGUGUAUAUAUAUAUAUAUAAGUAUAUUAUAUAACAAAUUCUGUAUAUAAAGAUAUUAACUCUACCUGUAUCAUAUAUUACAUAUUAUAAAAUAUGACAUAAUUAAAAAAUUUCUAUAUAUGUAUUGAAAAUUUAAAUUGGAAAUAAAAAUUUCUGUAUGUAUUUAUACACACACACACACACACACAUAUGAAAUAGUGAAAUAUCUGAGUCUUUUUUCAUAGUUGCUUGUCACCAGUCUUACUUCUCUACUCCUUGCUCCAUACUUGUGACUUGAAUGGAAUGGCAUAUUUCUAUAUUUUCAUUUUUUCACUUGCUUCUGCCUUUAUUGAAGUGAUUAUAGCUGUUAGAUAGGCUGUGUUUAUAAGUAUUUAUGAAUAAACACCACCCCACCCCCAGCAGUAACUUAAAACUACACGGGCCUAAUUUCCCUCGUGUUUUAUCUCCCUUGUGGGGAGACCGAAAGGCUCUGCUCUGUGCUGUUCUUACUUGGGGACAACAGUGGAGGGAAAAUCAGCUCCUCAAUCUGCAAAGGCUGAGAAAAGGAAGGGAAUGUGGUGGAUUGUGCGCUCAUUCCUGAAACUUCACUUCCGGUCGCAUUUCAUCAACAAAGGCACAGCAUUUGGCCAAAUCUAAGUUCAACAUCUCACUGUAUAUUUAUGGAUAGACCUAGUGACUCCCUUUAAACAUACAUAAACAUCCUUUCAAAAGUCCACAUCCUUUAAAAUAGAACCAUAGGCUUUAUCGUGAGAAAUUGCAGUCCCCUGCUCCACUCUCUAGCAGCCACCACUUUAAAUUAUUUCAGUGAUUUCUUCCAGGAUUUACCUCCAAGUUUCUAAAUAACAUGUGUAUCAUUCUAUUUCCCGACUUUUCCAUUUUAGCCACCAAAUUUUUAAGGGUGGGGAAGGUUCAACUUAGCUCUCUUCCUCACACAUCAUGUUUACAACAUCAUGAUCCUGUAAACAUCACAUACAGCUUGAGCUAUGGUUUCACUUAUACUAUGGCUUCAUUGUCUUUCUCGUGCAUUGUCUUCUUAACAUGAAUUAAGUCCCCCCCCCCCCGUUUUUUUUACAUUUGCUUAGUUUUCUGUGCAGCUAUUAUUAAUUUUCCCUGAGCUCUCUGACCAAGCUAUAAAACUUCUCUUAACACAUUCAGACACACUGAGCCCUUCAUUAGCUUCAUUCUGUUCUCAGAAACGUCCCUUGUUGGCCUUCCGUCCUCCUGAUCCAGCUUUGUGACAGGUUACUUUCUAAGUCUAUUUACACCCACAAUUCCUAUUCCUUUAAAGCUGCAGGUUUCUAAUCAAGAAGAGGGGAAAAAAAGACUAGAUGACUUCUGAAAUCCCUGCUCUCUGUUCUGGAACUGUGACACAGAGAUGAAUAUUAUGUGAAGCCCAAAUAAAUUCCAAGGAUUGGCUCUGCUUUGUGCCCCCUGGCUAAAGCUUCUCAUUUACCCCAGCUCGGCUACUGGGCCUGGGUCCUCACUGGUCCAUCUUAGGCUUUGGUCGCCUACUUUGACUUCUCCACUCCACAACUUUCAAGAUCUUGGUUGUCCUCUGACUUCUGUUAUCCUGGAACCAAUAACAAAAGAAGAAGAGUGAGGAGCAGCCUUAUUUUUAGGAAUUCCUGAAUUCCCAAGAUCCAGCCCUAGAAGCACUUCCAUAUUCUUGCUCCUCCUUUGUCCCAUUAGAAGCAAAAAUUAUUAGACUUUACUCAAAAAGUGGAAAAUCCAAGUCAUAGAGAAAAACAGUGUGAAAGUUAAUAUCUUGUUAUGCUCUUAUCUGGGAACUGAUUGAAUUUCUAAAAGCCCUUGAGGUGCUCCUGCUGGCAGCUGGGAUUGAAGGUUCAAAGCAGAGAAACUGAGCACGUGGGGGAAAUGCUUUUACUUUAUGAUUUACUUCUCACUCCUGACGAUGGGAUGCAGUGUGCAAGGGGGGAGUGGAAUGGGAAUAUAAAUAUUGCUAUAAUAAUGAGAAUGCUUUCAUACCUGGUGAGGCAGGGAGAAUGAUGAAAAUGGUUCUGAGACACUGAUGAAACCCAGAGUGGUGUGGUUCUGAGUGGAGAAUUUGUUAAGAAACCUGAGAAAUUUCUGCCUACUUUAGUCUACCAUCAAGGAAAUUAUCCCCCCUUAUUUUUUUUUAAGCUCAUUUUCUGUUCUGUGUAGCACAACUGGAGAUUAGAAUAGAAGAGAUGUUCCUGGGGCCUUCUCUGAAAACAAUAGCCCCACCCCAACGACAGGGAAAGGAUUGAUGCUAGGAAUUACCAACUCGUAAAUGGAAAUUAAUACUGUAAUUAGCAAGGUAGGAAAAUCUAUCUUAUUGUAAAUUGUGAUACUUAUAGAUUGUGAUAUCCCCCCUGGGAUCACCAGGUUAUUUAAAAGGAAUAAAUCAGGAACCACAUUCAAGCCUAUAAGGAUGUCAGAAAUAUUCAGGGCAGACAUACACCUAAAACAGAUAAUACUUUCACCAGGGUUGUAAAACAGUGGAUAAAGUCAGUUUUUUAAAAGAUACACAUUUGUGAUUUUUGACACUUCUUAGAUGGAAAAUGUUUUCAGAUUGGCUUUUGAAUAUCAACAUUGUUACCUAGACAGCUUUCUAGCAAGCAGACUGAAGACAUUGGAUAAAAAGGUUAGUCUCACAAAAUACGAGGAGAUGAAUAUUGCAUUUCAAAUAAAAGCAGAAGUCUCCAAGGAUGAAAUAUAAACAUUUGAUAAACCUGCAGCUCUGAUAAAAAUCUAUAUAAUGGCCUUAACAUUUCUAUAGCUGUCCAAAAUAUGGAGCCUGCCUUCACAUCCAUUAACUCAUUUGGUUCUCAAGUGUGUGUGCGUGUGUACAUAGUAUGGGAAGAGGUAAAUGAGAGGAAUGUUAAAAAAAAAAAAUCUUCAUUUUACAGAUGAGGAAGUGGAGCCCAGAAAGAUUCAAGCUCACACUGUCUCCCAGGUAUUAACAGACUGUGUGUAAUUAAUGUUACAUGCUCCUGAAUCAGAAUUUAAAUGGAGCCCAAAUGGAGCCCAAAUGGAGAUGCAACACAGAGAUGGCAUUCUAGCCACAGUAGUGUUGUGAUUUCAAGUUUAUUAGUUCAAGAAUGAAUCAAUGCAAGCAAUGUAGGAAAAGUACUCACCUCCCCACCUUGAAAAUUGAUUAAGGAAUAGCAGAAUUUAGUAUUGUCCCCAUUAUUACACCCACAUUUGACAGAUUGGUUAGAGCUCUGAUAGUUAUAGUGCAUCAUAGCCUGCCUUGAAUUGGGGCUCUACAUGAGUACGUGUCUUCCUUUCUGAACCGCGAGAGCUCACAGACCAGCAACCAGAUCUUUAAUAUGUUGUUUCCAUCCAGUGUAUAUCCCAGUGCCAGUGCUUCAUAAACAUGUAGAGUGGAAUAAACCAUGAGACACUUUGCAAUACCACCAAUUGGGUCAUGAUGUAGGCGUGCAGACUGGAAGAUUGUUGCAUCCACUUGGAGGGUUGGAGGUGUCAGAUGCCUCCCUUUUAAACCAUAUGACCUGGUUCCUGUCCUUUUUAUGCAGUUUGGCCCCAUUUCUUGGGAUGAAAUCAGUUGUAGAUGACCUCCUACUUUCAAACAGAUUGAAAAUGUGCCUGCAAGUCUAGUAACAAACUCAUGUGCUGAAAGGGAUGGUUUCCAUGUUCCAAAACUUUAAAUCCCUUAUCAGGAACACUGGGCCCUGUGACAGGGUUGUGGGAACCCUGCAAACCCCAUGAGUGAUGACCCACGUAAUAUUAAUAACCCUCAUCCCCACUCUGACCCAAACCCUGGACUCCAUCCUCAGCCAGGCUCUCAUGGAAGGACAGGCCCAGUCAGGGAUUGAUGCACAGGCUUCAGGAGCAUCUGUGGAGAAAACCUCUGCAAACUUUAAAGAGAAAUGCAUCAUGAAUGAUUCCUAGUUUGUCUAUAAAGAGGAGAAAAGAUUAAAAUAAAUGUAUAUGUAAGUAUAAACAAAAGAUAGGAGUAAAUAGAACGAAAAAAGUUUUAAUGACUUUUUCUAGCUGGUUGGAUUAUGAUUUGGGGUUUUUCUUUUCUAUUUUUUUAAUUGGUUUAAGGUAUUCAUUGUUUAACAUCUAUAAAUACUUUUACGUUUAUUUUUAAUCUUCUUGUAAGACAUUAAAUACACUACUAUUAAGACUAAAAUCCUUUUUGGCUACCAUCCCCAAAUUCCCAGGGGUAAUCACAUUACUUUGGCAUGCAUCUUUCUGGAUUUUUUCUUAAUAUAUAUUUACACAUACAUAUGUAUGCACAUAUAAAACAGUAUUGUUUUGUUUCUACAUAGGUGGCAUCAUACAAUACAUAUUCUGCAAUUUUUGUUCCAUAUCAGUUGCAUAUAAAUGUACCUCAUUAAAAGAAAUACUGUUCCAUCAAAUGGAGAGACUACAGGUUUAGUCCCACUGAUCCUGCACUAGAAUCAUGUAAGGAGUCUUAAAAUCAAACCAAUGCCCAGGCCCCAUCCCUGGGAACUGAUGCAACUUUUUUUGCUUUCCCUAUUGCCCAAGUGUUUUAAUUUGUUACUGUUUUAUAACAAUAUCACUCUGCGUAAUCUUGCACAUAUAUGUGGGUGGUAUUCUAGGAAGAUUUUUUUUUAAGCACUUACAUUGCUUAUUGCAAUACCAAUUUACACUCUUACCACAGUAUGUGAAAAUAUCCCAUACACUGCUCUACCUUGGAUAUUAUCUAAUUUAAAAAAUUUUAAACUUUUUGCUGCUUGGAUGGAUUAAAACAAAUAGUAUGUCAUUUAUUUUCAUUCUACUGAUAAUUUUUAAGAUUUAUAUCUUUUCUUAUGUACAGUGAGAGAUUAAGGGCACAAGUUACACAGGUUUGUAUCCCAGCUGAGUUAUUUGCCUUCAGUCUAGUUGUUAAUCUCUCUGUGCCUUAGUUUGCUCACUUGUAAAAUGAAGAGAGUAAUAGUGCCUAGUUCAGAGGCUUAUUGUAAGGAUGAAAUGAUUUAAUAUAGGUAAGGUUUUAGAACAGUAUCAUCACAGAGCAAGCAUACCACAGAUGUUAGUUACUUGUUUUGGUCUUCUGUGUUUUUUUUACUAUUGUUACUUAAUCAGAAAUAUUUGGAUAAACACACACAUACAAAUUGAAGACAUAUCAUGAUUUAAAUAAGUAGCUAAUAUUUGGGAUCCCAAAGUGAUUUAAAAAAAAAAAAAUCUUGGAGUUCCCGUUGUGGCGCAGUGGUUAACGAAUCCGACUAGGAACCAUGAGGUUGUGGGUUCGGUCCCUGCCCUUGCUCAGUGGGUUAAUGAUCCGGCGUUGCCGUGAGCUGUGGUGUAGGUUGCAGAUGUGGCUUGGAUCCCGCUUUGCUGUGGCUCUGGCGUAGGCCGGUGGCUGCAGCUCCGAUUAGACCCCUAGCCUGGGAACCUCCUAUGCCGCGGGAGUGGCCCAAGAAAUAGCUAAAAAGACAAAAAAAAAAAAAAAA